rnacentral:rRNA from 1 species
GUGAACGCUGGCGGUAGGCCUAACACAUGCAAGUCGAACGGCAGCACAGUAAGAGCUUGCUCUUACGGGUGGCGAGUGGCGGACGGGUGAGGAAUACAUCGGAAUCUACUUUUUCGUGGGGGAUAACGUAGGGAAACUUACGCUAAUACCGCAUACGACCUACGGGUGAAAGCAGGGGAUCUUCGGACCUUGCGCGAUUGAAUGAGCCGAUGUCGGAUUAGCUAGUUGGCGGGGUAAAGGCCCACCAAGGCGACGAUCCGUAGCUGGUCUGAGAGGAUGAUCAGCCACACUGGAACUGAGACACGGUCCAGACUCCUGCGGGAGGCAGCAGUGGGGAAUAUUGGACAAUGGGCGCAAGCCUGAUCCAGCCAUACCGCGUGGGUGAAGAAGGCCUUCGGGUUGUAAAGCCCUUUUGUUGGGAAAGAAAAGCAGCAGGUUAAUACCCCGCUGUUCUGACGGUACCCAAAGAAUAAGCACCGGCUAACUUCGUG